AAGACAUCUACUCUUCCUGCAGUACUUUAUAGGCAAUUGUGGGAUUUGUAAGAAGAACCAUGAUCAGCAUCUUCUUUUAUUGUGUGAUACCUGUAAACUACAUUACCAUCUUGGAUGUCUGGAUCCUCCUCUUACAAGGAUGCCAAGAAAGACCAAAAACAGUUAUUGGCAGUGCUCGGAAUGUGACCAGGCAGGGAGCAGUGACAUGGAAGCAGAUAUGGCCAUGGAAACCCUACCAGAUGGAACCAAACGAUCAAGGAGGCAGAUUAAGGAACCAGUGAAAUUUGUUCCACAGGAUGUGCCACCAGAACCCAAGAAGAUUCCGAUAAGAAACACGAGAACCAGAGGACGAAAACGAAGCUUCGUUCCUGAGGAAGAAAAACAUGAGGAAAGAGUUCCUAGAGAGAGAAGACAAAGACAGUCUGUGUUGCAAAAGAAGCCCAAGGCUGAAGAUUUAAGAACUGAAUGUGCAACUUGCAAGGGAACUGGAGACAAUGAAAAUCUUGUCAGAUACCCUUCAUGAGACCCAACUCUGCCACAGCUCAUCCUCGGAGGCAAUCCCGGAAACCUCUUUUAUAAGUGUGAUUUUAAAAAUGUGGAUUAAACUCUCGAUAGAGUACAUAAAGUAAAGGAGAACAGCUAUAUUGUCCUUUCUAUAAGCUUGUCACUGCAAAAAGUUGCCUUUUGCUUGUCAGGUUUGGAUAGAAUAUAAUUGAUUGGUUUGUUACUUGGACUAACAAGGCAGUAGAUUUGCCUGUGUGGAAUUUUUUUUCCUAUUUUUCUUCUUUUUGCUUUUUUUGCACUUAUCAGAAAUAUUUGAUGUGUGCAUUGUUGAAAAAUACUGGAUACAUGUCUUGUCAGAAUUGUCGUAUUAAGUAAUGUCUUUCCCUCUUGCUUCUUUGGCAAAUGUUGAUACACAGUGUUUGGACUUACUGAAGAGUUACUGAAGCCUGUGGGACUUAAUAAAUACAAUAUGCUACUCCCUGUUGUGAUUGAACAAUACAAAUAACAAACAAGAAAG
rnacentral:lncRNA from 1 species